UUUSGCUCCUCAGCGUCAGUAUCGGCCCAGAGAACGGCCUUCGCCACCGGCGUUCCUCCUGAUAUCUGCGCAUUUCACCGCUUCACCAGGAAUUCCGAUCUCCCCUACCGAACUCUAGCCUGCCCGUAUCGAAUGCAGACCCGGGGUUAAGCCCCGGGNUUUCACAUCCGACGUGACAAGCCGCCUACGAGCUCUUUACGCCCAAUAAUUCCGGACAACGCUCGCACCCUACGUAUUACCGCGGCUGCUGGCACGUAGUUAGCCGGUGCUUCUUCUGCAGGUACCGUCGCUUUCGCUUCUUCCCUGCUGAAAGAGGUUUACAACCCGAAGGCCGUCAUCCCUCACGCGGCGUCGCUGCAUCAGGCUUUCGCCCAUUGUGCAAUACUCCCCACUGCUGCCUCCCGUAGGAGUCUGGGCCGUGUCUCAGUCCCAGUGUGGCCGGUCGCCCUCUCAGGCCGGCUACCCGUCGUCGCCUUGGUAGGCCAUCACCCCACCAACAAGCUGAUAGGCCGCGGGCUCAUCCUGCACCGCCGGAGCUUUCCACCACCAGACCAUGUGGCUGGUGAUCAUAUCCGGUAUUAGACCCCGUUUCCAGGGCUUGU
rnacentral:rRNA from 1 species